rnacentral:rRNA from 1 species
UUACGGGAGGCAGCAGUGGGGAAUCUUGGACAAUGGAGGCAACUCUGAUCCAGCCAUGCCGCGUGAGUGAUGAAGGCCCUAGGGUUGUAAAACUCUUUCGGCGGGGACGAUAAUGACGGUACCCGCAGAAGAAGCUCCGGCUAACUUCGUGCCAGCAGCCGCGGUAAUACGAAGGGGGCUAGCGUUGUUCGGAAUUACUGGGCGUAAAGCGCGCGCAGGCGGUCCUUCAAGUCAGAGGUGAAAGCCCAGGGCUCAACCCUGGAAUUGCCUUUGAGACUGAGGGACUUGGGUACGGGAGAGGUGAGUGGAAUUCCGAGUGUAGAGGUGAAAUUCGUAGAUAUUCGGAAGAACACCAGUGGCGAAGGCGGCUCACUGGCCCGUUACCGACGCUCAGGCGCGACAGCGUGGGGAGCAAACAGGAUUAGAUACCCCGGU